UACAGAGGUCCCGAGCGUUGUUCGGAUUCAUUGGGCGUAAAGGGUGCGUAGGCGGCGAGGUAAGUCUGAUGUGAAAUCCCGGGGCUCAACCCCGGAACUGCAUUGGAUACUGCCUUGCUAGAGUACUGGAGAGGGAACUGGAAUUUACGGUGUAGCAGUGAAAUGCGUAGAGAUCGUAAGGAAGGCCAGUGGCGAAGGCGGCUCUCUGGAACGCAACUGACGCUGAGACGCGAAAGCGUGGGGAGCAAACAGG
rnacentral:rRNA from 1 species